rnacentral:rRNA from 1 species
GGCGUUGCCUAAUACAUGCAAGUCGAGCGAGCUUGCCUAGAUGAUUUUAGGUGCUUGCACUCAAAUGAAACUAGAUACAAGCGAGCGGCGGACGGGUGAGUAACACGUGGGUAACCUGCCCAAGAGACUGGGAUAACACCUGGAAACAGAUGCUAAUACCGGAUAACAACACUAGACGCAUGUCUAGAGUUUAGAAAGAUGGUUCUGCUAUCACUCUUGGAUGGACCUGCGGUGCAUUAGCUAGUUGGUAAGGUAACGGCUUACCAAGGCAAUGAUGCAUAGCCGAGUUGAGAGACUGAUCGGCCACAUUGGGACUGAGACACGGCCCAAACUCCUACGGGAGGCAGCAGUAGGGAAUCUUCCACAAUGGACGCAAAGUCUGAUGGAGCAACGCCGCGUGAGUGAAGAAAA